GGCACGGUGGUGCUCCUCAGUAAAGGAUGACCGUGGGCUCACGGUGAACGAACCUGCAAAAAUAAGAACUUCGUAGAAUCGACUCGGUUUGGAUACGAACAAGAACGGCGGCUAGUGUCGGAAGGUGGGGGGUUCACAACUGAGGUGCAGGAGCGAGUCGUUGAGAUCGUCUAAAACUUUCGGCAAGGCUGGGUUCGUCAGUACAUGUGCGUAACAGCAAGGUAGCUUGCUGGUUCGCUACUGGGUUGAGUGUUCCUUCAAUGGACAGUUAACACCAAUGACACCAAGGCCUUGUAGGCAUGGACACGAGGCAAGUCACGGGCUGCUCUCCAGAUGGUGGACUUAUCCCUUCAAGGCCUCACCUCUAUUAAUCUCUUCAAGAAAUUUGGAUACGUGAGGAUCUUGAAUUCGUGAAGGUCUGUGAGCGGUCCUUCGAACCGGGAGCUUGCCGAUGUUACAGGUGUCGUGAUCUGUUGUAGCGAACAGCAAUCGGCAGGAGGAACAACAGUGAAUGGCAACCCAAGCCCGGAAUCAGCAGAGGACAGCUGCAGCAGCGAAGGGUCUCCGGUGUGGGGAUGCCAAGAAGGUCACCGGAAAUCGUCUGGGCAACUGCUGGCUGGUCGAGAAGCGCUUUAGGUCGCCAACUGGAAUUCGUCGACAAGCAUCUAGGUGAAGUGCUGCACGGCGGGGAAGGCUGAACUUGAUGGUUCAGGCGGCGCAAGGAAAGAGUGGCACCGUUUGUGGCAGAGGAGGCACGCCCUGGGGUGGAAAACAGCCCUCUCUCUCUAGUGCUGUCUUUUCGUGCAAAAGCUUUCAAGCAACUCUCGUCUUUUUCUCUCUCAGUUUUGUCUUUAAUUGUGACCAUGUUUUCCAUGUGUGGCCCCAUGUGUGGCCCCCUAUUUGAAUCGCGUGGCCUCCUCUUCAACGUGUGGCCCAUAUUGAAUCGCAUGGUUCACUCCUGCACGUGAAAACAGAAGCGUUUCCGAUUUCUCUUUCCCGUUUGUCUUCAUACCACAGAGAAAUAAUCUUGAUUUGCUAUUUUGUUCUCGAUCUUCCACGCUCCCGUGCUGCUACGAAUCUUCAUGAACGAUCUCCUUUUGACCAAGAAUAUCUCCGUUAAUAUAUAUCAAGUUCACUUUUACAUGUGAGAAAGCCUUUUUUUCUUUGGACACAUAUAUCUCUUCCUUCCCUUUUGCUUGGCCGAAUAUUACCUCACUUGCAAUCAGAUCUUUUCCUUUCGAAGUCAGUGCAAUAUUCUCUUGAUGAUGCAAUAUCCUCUUCAUAUCAUAUGAGCUCCAGCCAUCAUGUGAAAGGCAUAAGUGAUUCUCAUCCAUGGACUUAGUCGAAUUCAUGGGCUCAAUAAAAAUCAAGGCCAAUCAGUUAAGUCCAUCUACCAUUAGUCCAAUGUAAAUGCGAUUAAAAUACUCCUAAAAUUAUAUGUCAUGCAAUUUAAUUAUAAUAUUUUUGUUUAGAGAUUAAAAAUUAAUCCCUAAUUUUUAAUGUGAUAAAAAACUAAUCGCAGAUUGCCAAAAUUCAGAUGUUGACAAGUCAAUUAAAGUAUUCAAUUUGUGCAAAUACUGAUGACAAUGUCCUAAACCAUAAAAUAAGGGGAGUAUUAUUUUGUUCUUGAGCAUUCUAAAAGUCCAUUGACUAUGUAUCAGCAACGGAAAAACAAAUCGCCUCGAUUAACCAGCAAUUAAAUAUGCUAGCAGAUCCACCGCAGGGCUAAUGCAAUGCAACCUCGGCAACAAGGCUAGUUACCGGCGUUGGGAGUGAACGGCCAUUUUCACCUACACAACCGCGGCACGCAACGAGAAAUAUCGAGAAUUUAAUUCCGAAAUGAACCUACUCCUAAAGAAAAUAUUUUGAAAAGCAAUCAUACAUGCGUGAAUUAAAGUCAUUCAUCCCUACCAGGCUUGAACAUACACAAGAAAGCACAGCCUUAAGGCAAAGGACCAAAUCAAAAAGAUGGGUGCAUUUGGGAGAACUUUUGAAAAAAGUCUUUAAGAAAAUGUAAAAGCCCUUGAGUUAAAUGAGUUUUUCAAAAUGCAAAAUGUGUUUGGUAAAUUUAUUUGUGAAAGUCCAUUAUAAAGUAUCUUUGAGCAAAAUAAUGUUUUGGUAAAUUAAAUUUGCAAAAGACUUUUGUUAUUAAAAAAAAUUAAAGAAGGAGAGUUGGCCGGGCAAGGGCUUCGCUUUGCUGGUUACCGUCGGCCAAGGGCUUCACCGGUUAUCGCCGGCCAAGAGCUAAUAGUUGCCGACAAAGGGUAGGCGGUCCGGCGAAGGGGAGGUGGUGCGGUGAAGGGCAGCGUCCGACUAGGGUCACCGUGCGGAGGACACGGCGCAGCGAGGGUCACGGCGACUCGGAUCUCACGAAUCAUGGCGACCCUCACCAAAAGAUUGCGUGACUUGCCAUGCCGCGACCUCCAUGUAGAGGUCGCCAGUGUCGCUCGAUCUAAUCACAGCAACCCAGAUCGCGACCAACUUGCGAGAUCUAGGUUGCCAUGACCCUCGCCGCCCUGUUGCACGACCCACCACAUUGUAGAGGUCGCCAGCGACCUAGGCGAGGUCGUGGGUCACUUGGGUCGCAGCAACCUCCGGCGACCUCCGCGACCCAAGCGCGGCAAGGUCACACCACUUAGAUCUGGGUUGCGCAAUUGGUCGGUGACGAUUGCCGGGGUGCCGUGACCACGCCGGCUGACAUCUAAGAAUCUAACAAAGAAGAAGAUGAAUAGUGCACUGACCAUUCUAAGGGUGUGUUUGGAAUCAACUUUACAAGGGGCUUUGGGCUCCUAAUACUUGGGCUAAAGCUGGGGUGUUUGGGAACAGCUUUAGAAUUCCCAUUAGGCCAAAGCUGGCCUUAUCAAGGCUGAAAGCCCAAGGCAGGUGAAGGGGUGCCCUGGGUUUUCAGCUUUCUCGGCAUACAAGUGACAUUGUUCACUUUUUUUUUUUUCUUCCAAAACUAUCCUCGGCUACUCUCAAUUUUUCCGGUUUUGCCCUCGUCAUUGUACUGUUCAUCUUCUUCUCCGUUGAAGGCCGACGACGUGUUCCUCGAAGCAGUGAGCGGCCGCCGACAGCUCGGCAUGGUCGCGGUGGCCCAAGCGACCGUCGCCGGGGAGUGGUGCAACCGCCGCCCUAUCCGGGUCGCGGCCAUCGCCGUGGGUCACAGUGAGGUUUGGGUCGCCGACCUCGCCGCGACCCAAAUCCGAGGACGGCGAGGUCCUCCCGCGACCUCGCCGCCCCAGACCUUGGUUGCAGCGGUCGCCGGAGGUCGCGCGACCUUGCCGCGACCCAGAUCCGAGGGCGGCGAGGUCGUGCGACCCCGCCGCGACCCAGAUCCGAGGGCGGCAAGGUCGCGCGACCCCGCCGCGACCCCGCCGCGACCCAGAUCCGGGGGCCGCAAGGUCGCGGGGACCUUGCCGACCCAGAUCUAGGUCACGGCGAGGUCGCCCGACGUCCAGCGACCCUCGCCGAUGGUCUUUAGUGGUCGCCCGACGUCCGGCGACCCUCCCCGAUGGUCUUCAGUGGUCGCCCGACGUCCGGCGACCCUCCCCGGUGGUCUUCAGUGGUCGCCCGACGUCCGGCGACCCUCGCCAGAGGUCUUCAAUGGACGUCUAGCAGCCACCUGCCCUUGCCGGUCUUUUUUUUUUUUUUUCUUUUGAAAUUUUUUUUUAUCAUCAAAGCCCUUUGUAAAUGUGAUUCACCCAAACACCAUUUUACUCAAGUGUACUUCAAAUGGGCUUUCAAACUAUAAUUUACCAAACACACUUUGCAUUUUGGAAAAUACCUUUAACUCAAAGGACUUUGCAUUUUCCUAAAGACUUUCCCCCAAAGACUUCCCAAACGCAUCCUAAAAAUGCUGAAAGCCCAAGGCAACCUAGGACCUGUCUUGGGCUUUCAGCCUUUGGAAGGCCAGCAAUCAUUCCUUCAAGGUGAGUUUCAAAAAUGUUUCCAAACACCCAAUAUUUGCUCAAAUGGGCUUUGGAUGCCCAAAGAUACUUGGGAAACCUGGUCCCAAAUGCUGCCGAUGUCAAAGCCGGUAGGUUACAACAUUAGUGGCAGCGCAGGGAGCUUUUGAAACAGCUCCCGGAACAUUUACUCCAAUAAGGCCUCACAAUCAGAGACAGCUGCUACAGUUACUCAGCUCGUGAAUCACGGCGUCCAUGGAUGGCCUGUCAUAAGGAAACUCGUUGGUGCAGAGCGAGGCGAUUUUUACAAGUUUAGCCGCCUCGUACUCGAAGAACCUUCCAUGGAUAUUCCCAUCAAUGAAUUCUUGGAAUCUGCACGAUUCAACAGCCAGACGCAUGGAGUGAUCUAUUUUCUGCUUCCCCAACAAGAUCUGGAACACGAUCAUUCCAAACGCGUAGACAUCACUCUUCUCCGUGAACCGGCCCGUGGACGUGUACUCGGGCGCUAGGUAGCCCAUGGCAGCGCUAGCUUUAGAGCAACGAGAACACAACAUCAUUUGUCAGGAGCCUGUGGAGACCAGAUUGGUAGAGCAACGGAUUGAAUCGCUGGUCUAUGAGCACUUUGGCUGCUGAGAUGUUUUGGUGAAGGAGGGGGGCCUUGUUUGGUUUGUGAGCGUGCAAAUAGGCAAUACCUGUUUCGUAGGAUUAUUUGAAAAUCAACAAAAUCAGAGGUGCAACUUGCAAGUAGAAGACAAUCAAAAUCAGUUGAUCCCCAAUUCAAAGAAAGAUAAACAAUUAAAUUAGAUGCCACAAUAUGCUAUUUGAGCACCACCACCAUUGCCCAUAUUGGUACAUGACAGAGCAGUGACCUGGCAAAAUUUAAAAUGCAGCAAAUUCAACAAUGGCAGGUUACAUCAAAUGAUGGGGAUCCUGGCCCACCUAAAUCUGUUCCUCCACAAUGAAUUGGUAAUGCUAUUAUUAAUUUUGUGGCCUUCUAGAUGGUUACUGCUCACUAGCAGUCCAAAGCACUGUCAAUGAUGCAUCAGAAGAAAUUAGAACUAGAGGUAUUGCUUUGAAGGUUCUUACUUGCUUAUAUACAUACAGGUAUAUAUUGAUUUGCGAACUUGAUCUAUAAAACUGAAAUUUGAAAUAAUUUUAUGAUUGGUUGGAAGAGUGUGCUAAUGGUUUCAAGCCCUUGGCACUAUGACCUAAAACAAUUGAAAGGAGUUUUCAGUGUGUAUAAUAUUCUCUGGGCAUCUUACUUGGGCCAAACCAUCGGCUGAUAUAGAUGAAGACAUAUACCAAGGGGCAUCUUGGUANNNNNNNNNNNNNNNNNNNNNNNNNNNNNNNNNNNNNNNNNNNNNNNNNNNNNNNNNNNNNNNNNNNNNNNNNNNNNNNNNNNNNNNNNNNNNNNNNNNNGAAUGACAUUUCAUGAUUUUGAGGUACGAUCAACUCUGUCGUUCUAUUUUACUUGAUAGAUUUGUUAAGAGGACAAUAUGCAAAUAGAUUAAUAUAUCGAAGAUCCCAUUACUAUGCUGUCCCACAUCUCUAUUUCCAAAAUAAUGGACCAGUUUAUAUUGUAAUCGAAAGAUUUUUUUCUUUGGUGUUUGGUUGAUGGGAUAAGUGGCCAACUGUACAAAUAUGUCAAUUUCUCUAGUUAUCCUAGCAAAACUGUUUGCUGGUCCUGGCUUGCAUGUAUUUAGCUACUGGGGAAUUGUACAUUUUUCUCGUAUAGUGGUUACUCAUUACAAACACGGGAGAAAUAAAGUACAGUGUAAAGAGAUUACACUUCCGAUGACUAUACUUUUGUUAUGAUUAGCCCCUUUACUUUCAUUUGUCAUUAAUUCUAAUUAAAUUUCAUUAAAUUUUCUUGCAAAAUCCGGCAAAAUACUUUUAGUCAACACUUGCUAUCGAGACGCGGCAUCUAUAUGUAAAAGUCUUUGUGACAUUUAAAUUUAUUGCUAAUAACUUUAACUUGCUACCUUGUAUAGUAAAAUAAAGGCUCCUCCACCACAAUGGUGGUUGGUCUAGAGGAAUAGGGCUUACUACCAAUUAGUUGGAGACCUUUUGAUCAUAUGUUUGAAUUCUCAAAUCGUUCAUCGGCCUUAAGGUUCUUGUGGAGCAUCAGUUCGAUCAUGCCUCGAUAUUGGAAAGCCUUGAUUCUACUACUAUUAAAAUCAUGGUGAGACGGCAUGACGUGUUUGCUCAAAUAAGCAAUAAAUAUGGCUCAAAUCGAUAUUUUGUCACAGUAUGGAACUCUUGUAAAAUGCUAGGGGUCGCUGACGCUGAUGCUGACGUNNNNNNNNNNNNNNNNNNNNNNNNNNNNNNNNNNNNNNNNNNNNNNNNNNNNNNNNNNNNNNNNNNNNNNNNNNNNNNNNNNNNNNNNNNNNNNNNNNNNNNNNNNNNNNNNNNNNNNNNNNNNNNNNNNNNNNNNNNNNNNNNNNNNNNNNNNNNNNNNNNNNNNNNNNNNNNNNNNNNNNNNNNNNNNNNNNNNNNNNNNNNNNNNNNNNNNNNNNNNNNNNNNNNNNNNNNNNNNNNNNNNNNNNNNNNNNNNNNNNNNNNNNNNNNNNNNNNNNNNNNNNNNNNNNNNNNNNNNNNNNNNNNNNNNNNNNNNNNNNNNNNNNNNNNNNNNNNNNNNNNNNNNNNNNNNNNNNNNNNNNNNNNNNNNNNNNNNNNNNNNNNNNNNNNNNNNNNNNNNNNNNNNNNNNNNNNNNNNNNNNNNNNNNNNNNNNNNNNNNGUAGCCUAACUUAUGUUCGCAAGCGGUACACAGGGACCACAAGUCGGUAAUUAAUAUCUUCAUCAAGAAUGUUUUCAAACUCUCCAUGUAAAUUUGAUAAAGUGACUUAAAUUGUCUCCGAAGAAUAGCAUUUGAAACUAGUAUUACGACGAAAUAAAGUAUAGAGACGGAAAGUCAGUGGCGGGCUUGGGAUGAGUGAUGGCCCUACCCCCGAUCAAAAAAAAUUUCUAAUGUUAUUUGAUGAGAAUUUUUUUUUAAUAUAUCACUAUAUCUUAUUAGAACUUCUUAUCACCCCUAAUCUUGAAUUCUCGACUCGAACCACUUAAUUGGCAUCCCCACACAUUAUACCGACUUUUGAGUGUGAUGGGAAUUGCUAAAGAGAAAAACAUAUGACAUGAUACCACUAACAACCUGCGUCAUUUCCCUAUGUGUAAUUGAUUCCGAAAUGAUCACAUAAAAAAUAUCAAUUUAUCAUUUCAAAUAUUGUCUUUGUUCGAGCAAAAGUGUUGUCCAAUGCAUUUUUUUUUAACUUUCUUAGAUAGAAAGUAUACAUGAUAAUAACUUUCGAUCUCCACGAAAGAUAGCGAUCCGUCGACAUAGCACAUAUAACUGGUCAUUUCUACUCUCCAUCGUAGUCAUGAAAAUGGUGUUCCCUAUUCAAUGCCCAAAAUCUGUGGGGUUAAACCUCCACUUUCUCGUAGAUUGAUGUGAAUUAUAGCAGGGAACGCACUUGGGUUCUAUAUAUUUAUAUUAAUAAUUGAGUUUACGCAUUAACUAGAGUGAAGUUUUCACUUUCCAGCUUCGAAUCAACUGGAAAAGUUAAAGCCAAGAAACUAAAGUCGAAGACCGGGCCUUGCUUUAAUGGACAGCAUAUUCAUCCCCCUUUCCUAUAUUCAUUUCUUUUUUGUUUUGAAAUUACUUUUUCAACAAAAAGAAUCUUGAAACAACUUUUGUUCGCCAUUACAAAGAUGUGAUCGGAUAAGAUAAUAUAAGAAAUCCCAUCAUUUGUUUGAUGGAGCCAUCUAUCAUGUACUAAGAUGGAUAUAACCAAAAACAAAACAUGAAUAUCCACUUGGGACCAUGUUAAUGAUGUGGCAUAGUUCAAUUUUAAUACCCCAAUCAAGGGCAAUCAACGGAUCAGUUGUCGUCCUCUCGCACACAAUCUACUACGUCCAUAUCCUCUUUCUCUUACUUUAGGUUACCUCGCAAGUAUUCCUGACGAGAUCAGCCCACCUAAAAUGUCAAUUAAUAUGAAUUCAAAGUCCAUAAACUUCAAGCAAUCUCACUUCCCAACUAAAGUAAAAAAAAGACACCUAAAAAUCCAGAUAGAAAGCCCACAAUCCUCAACAUAGACAAAAUGCCACUGAUUAAUUGGGUUAUCGCUUUAUUUGCUCUACAAAAUCCUUCAUUCAAAGAUAAAGAUACCCGCUACUAAUGUGAUUAGGGAGGAGCCAAAAAAUCACAUUUUUUUUUUUCUAAAAGAGGAGAAAUUAUAUUUAACCACAUUAGUGAAAAAAUUCCAUUACCGAAGGAUUAGCCACUGCUAGAACCGCUCAGUGCCCUACCACCAAAGGAAGGACCCCAUCCGCAAAAACUGAGUCUAGGCUUCCACCUUCCAAGAAAGUGUAAAGGGAAGUUGUUCCACCAAGAACAACUGAUAAAAGCAAUCGUCAAAAACCCUAACACCCUCUUUGUUUGCUCCAUGCAAAGCCCUUGCCGCCACUAUGUCCACGGUACCGCCAUUAUUGACCUCAAUAAUGAUGGUCUCUCUCUAAGCUACAUCUUCUCAACAUCGACAGGCUAGUCAUUGAAAGUGAAAAAGCCGCUAAAUCUAGAAGCACGACCGUUUUGCCUCAACAUCAAGGGGCAAUCGCAUCAAGAGCUCAAUCACAUCGGAGGAGACGCCAAGCUUGCAAGAAAGGAAGCCAAUCGCGAACACAAUUAAAAGUAGGGGUGUGCAACGGGAACCGCCUGAACCGGGAACCGGCCGGACCAGACCAAACUGGCCGGUUUUGGGCGGUUCCCACGGUCGGUGGUCCGGUUCCCGGUUCCAAAUCUUGGAACCGGUGGCAGGUUGGUCUGGUCCCCGGUUCCAAGGUGGGAACCGGACCGACCGGACCGAACCAAAUUUUUUAAUAUAUAAUUUAUAUACAUAGAAUUAAUAAAAUAUAUAAACAUGAUAACUUAUUGCAACCAAAAUUGCAAUUUGAGGUAGGAACCUCUUAUGUGGCCAAGAGACCAUUAAAAACAUUUUUGUUAUUCUUUUAUUUAUAGAAAAAAUCUCCUUGUUAGUAACGUAGGCUGUGACUUGAGUUCUCUAUUUUCAAGGUUCCUCGAGUGGUACCAGCAAGUUAGUUAUCGAGAGAAAGAGGGAAAGUAAGAGACUCUUUCUUUUUUAAUUGAUUUAUUGGGGAUUUUAUGAUGAAUGGUUGAAUGAUCCUUGCUUUGUGUUUUGUUUUGUCUGCUUGAGGAAAUUAGAUGAUAUAUUCUUUAGCAAAUAAGAUUACAAUUUUUUGACUUCUAGUGAUUAAAAUGUCCCCACGUUAUUUGUUUAUAGGAUUACAAUUUAAGCCAAGUCCAACCUUUAGCCAAAUUGUUCAUGGCAUUUAUGGUUAAAGUUAAGUGUGAUUCACACUUUGUGUGUUUCACACAAGUGAAGUUUGAAUAUUUUGCACGUGGGAACAUGUGUGAUUAGUUUUGUUGAAUCGCCUAAGAACCGAAUUGGAUUGAUCGGUCCGGAGUGCGGUCACUCUUUAGUGCAGAAAAGUCGGUCACUCUUUAGUGCAAAAAAGUAGAGCCGAUUUUGUUGGACCGGAUUGGACCGGACUGGAACCGAUGGUCCGGUCCGGUUCCCGGUCCUAGGACCAAACGGUCCGGUCCACGGUUCGCAAUUUUGGGAAUCGGUGCUCCCGGUCCGGUUCCCAGUUCCAAGGUGGAACCGGACCGAACCGGGAACUGAUCACCCCUAAUUAAAAGGAGAAAUUUGCAAAUCGAAAUAUAUGAGUGAACACAUGGUAAGACUCAUGUUCAGUUAAGUAAAAGAAAAUGAUCCCUAUCCAAAUUGUUUGCGAGUUUUACUUAAUUGGCCCUUGCAGUAAAAUAUACAAAUGAAAUGCAAUCAGAAGUUAUCUGCUGCAUUUAGGAAUCCCAACAGAAAAUACAUAACUCCAAGAAGACAGAUGCUUUGCUAGGGAGAAAUGGUACUUUUUAAAACGACAUUCCACUUGCAAAUCUCACUCACUCGGCCCAGUCAAGUCAGAAUUCCAUCUCUCUCGCACUUGUGGAGCUGCAUCUUGAAAAUUCAUUUCUUCAGUAUACCCAGCCCACUCAAAAGUGACCCAGGUGUCGGGGUCGUCCCACUCAAAACCGGCCCACCAGUAUCGUCCCCCAAGACCGGAGAAGAUUCCCCUUGCAUUGGGAUAUUUCGAAGGUUGUCCCCUGAGGAAAGGAAUAAAGUGCGAUCGCAAUGCAUGUUAGUCGUGGAAGUCUUUGCAAGAGUAUAUAUUCGAGACGUGGGAAUACUCCCGAAGCAAUUAAUUCCUCCGCUGCUACAAAUUCAUGGCCAGUGAUUUUCUCCAUCGAAUUGUUGUCUAAAACAUACAACUAUCAUAGUUUCGGAGCAUGCACGAGCCACGACAAGUUUGAAAGCCUGUAGCUGGAGACCCUAACGGUGACAAGGCUGGAGAAGCAAGAGCAAUUGGGCACUUGUCCUAUUCCUUGAGUAAUCUCCAUCUUUUUAUCAAUCUUUUGCAAUUAAUAAUAAGGUUAAUACCUUGAAAAAUUUCAAAUUUAUAUAUUUGUAACAAAUUUACCAAAACUAAUUUUUUAACCAUCAAAAACCCUAAACACCUUUAACAAAUAUACUCAAAAUUAGUAAAUUUAUGAUAAAUUUACGCUCUGUUAGUUUUUAUUAAAUUUUACUGUCAAAUUGCUAAGUUGAAUUAAGUUGAAUGACACGUGAAAGUUACUAGUUGAUCAGUUUGCGAUUUUAUUUUUUGUUUGUCACAAUUGUACAAUUUUUGUGGUUUUUAUGGUAUUUAUCUAAUUUAAUGAAGGGUAUAUUUGUCACAAAUGUACCAGUUUUGAGUUUUUGGCAAUCGAACAAAUUAAUUUGGAAUAAAUUUAUCAUAAGAGUAUUAGUUUUGGGUUUUUUGCGAUUACUUGGGGUAAAUCUAUCACAUAUGUACCGGUUUAAGAUUUUUGUAGUCAAAAAAUUAGUUUGGAAUAAAUUUGUCACACGUAUACCAAUUUGGCGUUUUUCAAGGUAUUAACUCUUAAGGAUAUGGAAGUUCUUUGUUUUUUACUUUACUUUGACUCAUCAGAAAACGUUGCACUAAGUGUGUGAAGUUUGAUAGGACUGGUUCCAUGGACCCAACAGAUAGUUCCCAAUUUCAAUUUUUCGGUAUCGAUCUUUAAUGGAAAUCACCCACUUGAAUCAUGCUCAUCCCUACUUUGUAUCAAAAGGCUACGUUACUCACAUCUUUCUAAUCAUAUCCACUUACGAAUUAACACAUGACAAAUAUAUUACAAUCAUACAAAACAAUUUGAAAAUUUGACCUAAAAUUUAAAUGCCUCUCAAACUCUCUAUUCACCCAUCUUUUGCUCGUUUGAAUAGAUAAAUUUUGUCAUUUCUGAUGGACUCUAUAAAAAAAAGAAAAGAAAAGCAAGCUUUCCUUCCAUUUUCCCCAAAAAGCGACAUUAGUCCAAAAAUGAAACAUAUUGAGCUUAUCUCCUGGCGAGUUUAAUUCAGCAAAUAUUGAGUUGAGUAAAUUUUUUAUAAUUAUCUAUUGUUAUCAUUUUCUCGGAGAAAAUUGGUUGGAUUUUGAUCCUUUGUUUCCUCUUUAUAUGAAAGUUUGUUUACCUCUUCACGUAGCGGGACGAUUAAAAUCUGUUGUUUCCCAUGUUGACAAAUAAUUUAUAGCCCUUAUCUAAAUUGGUCUUUACAAUUACAUUUUGCUCAGAAGCCAAUAUCCCAUGCAUUCUAGCAUUCGAACUUCGCUACAGUGAACCAUUGGGGGUUCGCUCCAGUGGCCACCAUUCUAACUUGGAAGGGGAGGUUGGGGGUUCAAAUCUCCACAUUCUCAGGGGGGAUUGGGGGUGGAGACGAUUUCAUUUCAGGAGUGGGUUUCGACUCCCACGCCCUGCAAGGAGGCAAUGGCAAAAGUCUGAGAAUGAGUGUUAGAGUAGGAUUAGAGUAGGACUGACCAAAAAAAAACUUCGCUACAGUGUCUCUCUCUAGCCUUCUUCGCGACAAACGCUUUGAGAAGGGGGACGACGAAGGAGAGGAAGCCGCCGACGACGACGGACGACCACUCCUAUUGCCGCCGCUCCAUAGAAGCUUCGGCACCGCAAGAACCGGGACCUCAACUGCUUUCCCCCACUGAAUGCGGUCGCGCAGGUCGUAGAUUCCGCGAUUCGAGAGAGCUUCGAUGGGUUCGGAGGGAAUCUGCCGGAACGAGCUUCGGAUUGCAGUCCGCCAGCUCAGCGAUCGUUGCCUCUACUCCGCUUCCAAAUGGUAUUGCAUCUCGAAAACCCUAGCCCCGAUUUCAAGCACUCCCGUGCUGGGUAGGACGUAGGAGACGGUAGUGUUGAAAAAAAAAAAAACAGGUGCUUGGUGGGGUUAUACGGUGCUGCCUUUACUUCUGACAUUGGUGGGUGCUGUCCACUUUCUUGAUUCUUAAAUUUGUUUUGGGUAUUGGGGUUUCUGAAUUAGUCGAAUGAUCUGCCAAAACUAUAGCCCUUGUCCCUGUUGGGGAGAACCCGGGUACAACAAUUCACCACGGCCAAACUCAAUCCAGGAUCAAUUUCUCCCCCGAAGCUAAAUCAACUAAAAUUUUCUUAACCCCCAGCAACAACCAGCAAUAUAUAGCCUCACAAAAUGCAAAUAUAACGCCGAAAUGAUAAGUAGACAAAGCAAAUAACGACACCAAAGAUUUAACGUGGAAAACCCGAUGCGGGAAAAAACCACGGACCGCCCAAAAACAUCCACUAAUCACCAAGAAUAGCAGGAUACACAAAGUAUUCUUGUCUAGUCACACACUAGAGUCUCAACAUCAACAUUACAAUCAUUUUCUUCUCACCACAUAGGUAGACAAACAAGUUUGGAGCAAGAAAACCUUAACCGCAAUUGGAGAAUUUGGAGACGGUUCUCGACGAACAAAAACCAUCAACUCGUAGCCCUCGGUCUCACGAACAACAUACUGAAAUUUGAGCCGAUUCCGACAAUAUUUGGCCUUCGAAUCAAAGCCGCAAAGUUGCAGUGCUCUUCCUCUCUUCUCUUUCUCCUUUGCUGCAGUUUUCUUUUCUCGGUUUUUCUCUCUCCUCUCUUUGGACGCACACCCCACGUACGACAACUCCACUUCUUUUUAUUCUUUUUCUUUUCUUUUGUUCUUUAUUUAUUUAUUUAUUUAUUUAAUGUUGGCUGGGCCCCACAUGAAGGUGGACCCAGCCAAAAAAUCUCCCCCUCCACCUCAUGUGGGAAGAUUCGUCAUGCCCGCUUUUCUUCUACAAGCAUCAAGCUUCAUCACGGGCAAGGCUUUGGUCAUCAUGUCGGACUUAUUGUUGUCGGUAUGAACUUUCUCAAGUAGGAAGAGCUUCUCUUCUAGCUUUUCUCGGAUCCAAUGAUACUUCACAUCAACAUGCUUCGAUCUUGAAUGAAACACCGGAUUCUUGCUAAGAUGGAUGGCACUCAUGCUAUCGCAAUAUAGAACAAACUUCUCUUGCUUCAAGCCCAACUCUUAUAGGAAUUUUUGCAUCCACAAAAGUUCUUUACCUCCUUCGGUAAUAGCAAUAUACUCCGCUUCAGUUGUAGACAAAGCGGUACAUUUUUGCAAUCUCAAUUGCCAUGAAACAGCUCCCCCUGCAAAGAUUAUUAUAAAACCCGAUGUGGAUUUUCGGGAAUCAACAUCACCGGCAUAGUCCGCAUCCGAGAAGCCACUCAACUCAGGUUUUGCAUUUCCAUAGCACAAGCAAAGUGUAGAAGUGCCUCUAAGAUAUCUCAAAAUCCAUUUAACAGCGGUCCAAUGCUCCUUACCUGGAUUAGAGAGAAAUCUACUCACAACACCAACUGCAUGAGCAAUAUCCGGUCUUGUACAAACCAUGGCGUACAUCAAACUACUCACGGCCGAUGCAUAAGGAAUUUUCAUCAUCUCAACCUUCUCUUUCUCACUUGAAGGACACUCAUUACUACUCAACUUGAAAUGGCCUGCAAGUGGAGUACUCAUCGGUUUACAUGUGCUAAUGUUGAAUCUUUCAAGCACCUUCUCAAUAUACUUCUCUUGAGAUAACCACAAUUUCUUAUUCUUCCUAUCACGAGUAAUUCUCAUGCCUAAGAUUUGCUUAGCCCGGGCCUAGGUCUUUCAUUGCAAAAGCUUUACUCAACUCAUUUUCAAACUCUUGAUUUUCUUGGCAUCAUGCCCAACAAUCAACAUAUCAUCCACAUAAAGUAGGAGAAUAAGAAAAUCAUUAUCUGAAGAAUCUUUUCAUAAAAANNNNNNNNNNNNNNNNNNNNNNNNNNNNNNNNNNNNNNNNNNNNNNNNNNNNNNNNNNNNNNNNNNNNNNNNNNNNNNNNNNNNNNNNNNNNNNNNNNNNGUUAAGCGUAGUUAUAGUUUGAUAUUGAGCACAUGAUUGACCAAUGAGUUAGACCACUGGUAUUUAUUAUGAUAUUAUUGAUUGAAUGAGAAUAUAUUAAAUGUAUAAAGUUAUAUUAAACUGGUAUAACUAAUCUUUAAUGUAUAUUACAUGCUGAAUUUGGAUAAAUGUGUUGCUGGUAUUGUUUAAAUGUGCAUAACCGAUACUCAAUCUACUUAAAAGAGAUUUAUACUACUCAAUCGGCGAUGAUUUGCUCGGAUCCUUCAUCUCAAUUCUUUUUCAGGUUUUAACGACUAGUAGCAAAUAGAAAGAGAGUGGAAUCAGUGAGGAAAUUUGGGAGUUCGAGUUUGGUAUGACUUAAGAUAGCUGUAUACAUAUGAAAUGCUAGUUAUCGAGUUUAAUAUAGAAGUCACUAGAGAUGCACUUAUUCUUUUUUGUAGACUUUAGAACUAUGAUCAUGUAUCUAUAAUGUUGAUUUUGUAUAUGAUGCUCCAUGAUUUUCUCCAUACAUGAAGAUUUAGGGUGUGACCAAUAAGGGACAAUGUGAGUGACCAAAUUGCCCAGAUACUGAAAGGAGAGCUCUCAAGUCAAAUGAAACAUUAAUUUUGAGCAUUUUAUCACAAUAGUUAGUUUCAUGGUAUAUGGAGAUCGACCUUCAAGGUUGGCAUGGCAAGUGAUGUGUCAUGUCACAAGCGGACUUUGUAUAAGUGAAUCAUAUUCGAGCUGGACUUGACAAGAACUUUCGAGUAAAACUUAAAUUUGUUACAGCAAACUCCAAAGCCAACAUGAUUUGAUAAGUUUUGAUCCUUUUCUUUUCUUUUAACUGAAAGCAAUUUUUUAUUGCAAUGAAACAAUAUGGAAAGCAAUGAGACAGCACGAGGGGAGCGAUUGAAUAUGAUGCCACGGCAUGAUUUAAUGGUCCUAAAUGUGCUGCCAUUAGAGAGAACGCCACAUCAACUUAGAGACCUCUCAUGGAUAUGAGAUUUGAAGAGAUGAUGAAACUAGUGAUAAAUUUAGGGGAAAGAGAUUCAAAUGCUUUCACAGCCUGAAGGAGCAUGCCAUCAUAUUUUGGCCAUUUCUUGUUUCAGUCUCGAUCAAAUCAAAGUAGAUUCUGAUUAGUCUUUUCUAGGUGUGGUCCUAUCGCUACAUUCAAUGAAAAUACAGAGCCAUCGGAUUCCAUGUGAAGGCCGACACCUUCUUCAAAGAUUUUUGCUGCAUUUUGUACUCUACUUGGGCUCGCUCACUCUGAAAUGAGGAAGCACAGAUUCACCAUUCAGGCCAUUGCCACUGGAGAGGUAAAACCCAAAAUACUCCGUGAAAGUGGUCUCUCUGUACAUGGGUGGAUUGUCCUCAUCGAGAAGCUCCUUUAUUGGCCCAUACGGCUUUGACAUCUGCGUCUCUCCUGGUACGAGGAAGCAUGCGACUGACACCCGGGGCCCGGCCUUCCUGGCAAGGACCCGGUGCUCCACGCUCUUGAACUUGUCGUUGCUAACAAGCUGCAAUCAACAAGAUCAGGGAAAACGAAAGUCAUUCUUCAACUCGAAGAUAACUCGACGUUAAUCCACCCAGAAACGUAGGCAACAAGAUGUGAAUGAUCUUUGUACCUGCAUAAGGUCUCCAAUGUUGGCUAGGAUGGCUCCAGGCACCGGGGACACAUCGACCCACUGGUCCUGGUGCCGGACUUGGAGGCCGCCAUGGUGGUUUUGCAGGAGAAGAGUGAGAUAUGUGGCAUCUGAGUGAUUGAUUGUGCCCAGAGUCAGCUCUGGCUGAGGGCAAGUUGGGUAGUAAUGGCUUACUAUUCUCUUGGAGUCCAUGCAUUCAAUGUCACCAAGAUAGCCUGAAUCGAGCCCCAGUGCCUCUGAUAGUAGUUCAGACAGAGAUCUCUUCAAUUUUUCCACGUGUUUUUCGUACUCAAAAACCGGCUCUCUGCAAAGGAGGGAAAGUAAACAUCACGUGGUAAAGAAUACAUGAACCUAUGCAAAUAGAGAAGGGAAAGUUAUACAUGGAUGAAAGAGGUGUGAAGAAUCGAACUUGAUAUCUAUCUCUUGCCCUGAUAUCAUGUUGAAGUUAUGCAGAAAACUGUUUUCUUUCCCCUUUAAAGUAAAAAAGAAACACGGUAUAUAUUUCGAAAUGUCGAAGUCCUGGGUGAAGGAAUAGUGUAAAUCAUGAUGACUGAAUAGAAGAGGGACUGCCUCUCGGUCUGGCUCUCCAAACGGGAAAUCAAACAGGAGAGUGUCCUUCCAAGUUGCUGCUUUGGACCAAAACAAGUCUCCAUUGCUGUAGUACCUAAAUUUCCUAGCGUCGUCCCUGGAGUACCACUCUCCCUUCACUCCCUCAGGCUGCUCGUGGAACUGCUUGACAGCUUCCAACACGCCGUCCAUCACAUCGACCGGGAUCCCGUGGUUAAUUAUCUGGAAGAACCCCCACGUCUCCGACGCUCUACGGAGGUCGUCGACCACGUCUCGCCGCAGCCGGGAAUCCUGACAGCCCAUCAUGUCGAUGAUGGGGACCUUAAGGUCAGUGGCGGACCCCUCUGUGUCAGAGGACACGUCGCGCAGGUUCUGGGGAGGGUGGAUGAAGAGCCUAGGGACCUUGGCCACGCCGGAGUCGAUGAGGCCUUUGACGCCGGCUUUGGUCUCGUCGAAUUCCUUUGCUUCUUUCGCUCUGUCAUAGUGCGGGCCACUACAGGUGAUGGAUUCUCCAGGACUGGACAAGGUUUGCAUCUUUGUAAGGAGAAGCUUUGAAGCCUAUUAAGGAUUCUCCAGAACGAAAGUAGAUCUCUCCUUCUUUCCUUCUCUCUUUCCCUUUUAUCUCCUCCUUUUUCUUUUUUCUUUUUUCUUUCUUUUCUCUCUCUCUCUCUCUCUCUCUCUCUCUGCUGAAGCUUCCACCUUUUUCCUCUACAUUGACUUUUCAACCCCUUAUUUUACAUGCCAAGUCGCCGUCCGAUCACGUCAGAUCCAAAGGGAACCUCAUCACCCUAUAGCGAUCACACGUCUAGAUUAGAGUUAAAGUCAAUUGAAGUAUCCAAUUUGUGCAAAUACUGAUGACAAUGUCCUAGACCAUAAAAUAAGGGGAGUGUUAUUUUACUCUUGAACAUUCUAAACAUCCAUUGACUGUACAUCAGCAACGGAAAAACAAAUCGCCUCGAUUAACCAGCAAUUAAAGAUGCCAGCAGAUCCACCAAUGGAAAAACAAAUCGCCUCAAUUAACCAGCAAUUAAAGAUGCCAGGCAGGGCUAAUGCAAUGCGACCACGGCAACAAGGCUAGUUACCGGCGUUGGAAGUCCACGGCCAUUUUCACCCACACAACUGCGGCACGCAACGAGAAAUAUCGAAAAUCUAAUUCCGAAAUGAACCUACUUCUAAAGAAAAUAUUUUGAAAAGCAAUCAUACAUGCGUGAAUUAAAGUCAUUCAUCCCUACCAGGCUUGAACAUACACAAGAAAGCACGGCCCUAAGGCAAAGGCACCAAAUCAAAAAGAUGUCAAAGCCGGUAGGUUACAACAUUAGUGGCAGCGCAGGGAGCUUUUUCAGACCAACUUCUACCAUUGACUUUUGCAACAGCUCCUGGAACAUUUACUCCAAUAAGGCCUCACAAUCAGAGACAGCUGCUACAGUUACUCAGCUCGUCAAUCACGGCGUCCAUGGAUGGCCUGUCAUAAGGAGACUCGUUGGUGCAGAGCGAGGCGAUUUUUGCAAGUUUAGCUGCCUCGUACUCGAAGAACCUUCCAUGGAUAUUCGCAUCAAUGAAUUCUUGGAAUCUACAUGAUUCAGCAGCCAGACGCAUGGAGUGAUCUACUUUCUGCUUCCCCGACAAGAUCUGGAACACGAUCAUUCCAAACGCGUAGACAUCACUCUUCUCUGUGAACCGGCCCGUGGACAUGUACUCAGGCGCUAGGUAGCCCAUGGCAGCACUAGCUUUGAGCAACGAGAACACAACAUCAUUUGUCNNNNNNNNNNNNNNNNNNNNNNNNNNNNNNNNNNNNNNNNNNNNNNNNNNNNNNNNNNNNNNNNNNNNNNNNNNNNNNNNNNNNNNNNNNNNNNNNNNNNNNNNNNNNNNNNNNNNNNNNNNNNNNNNNNNNNNNNNNNNNNNNNNNNNNNNNNNNNNNNNNNNNNNNNNNNNNNNNNNNNNNNNNNNNNNNNNNNNNNNNNNNNNNNNNNNNNNNNNNNNNNNNNNNNNNNNNNNNNNNNNNNNNNNNNNNNNNNNNNNNNNNNNNNNNNNNNNNNNNNNNNNNNNNNNNNNNNNNNNNNNNNNNNNNNNNNNNNNNNNNNNNNNNNNNNNNNNNNNNNNNNNNNNNNNNNNNNNNNNNNNNNNNNNNNNNNNNNNNNNNNNNNNNNNNNNNNNNNNNNNNNNNNNNNNNNNNNNNNNNNNNNNNNNNNNNNNNNNNNNNNNNNNNNNNNNNNNNNNNNNNNNNNNNNNNNNNNNNNNNNNNNNNNNNNNNNNNNNNNNNNNNNNNNNNNNNNNNNNNNNNNNNNNNNNNNNNNNNNNNNNNNNNNNNNNNNNNNNNNNNNNNNNNNNNNNNNNNNNNNNNNNNNNNNNNNNNNNNNNNNNNNNNNNNNNNNNNNNNNNNNNNNNNNNNNNNNNNNNNNNNNNNNNNNNNNNNNNNNNNNNNNNNNNNNNNNNNNNNNNNNNNNNNNNNNNNNNNNNNNNNNNNNNNNNNNNNNNNNNNNNNNNCAACUUGUACACCCACUUAUUUGUGAGUGUUCUCUUACCCUGAGGCAACCUCACCAAUUCAAAUGUGUGGUUCUCAUGCAAGGAUUUAAGCUCCUCUUGCAUGGCUUCAUGCCACUCAUUUUUUCUUUCACAUGAUAUAGCCUCUUCAUAAGUUUCUGGCUCCCCUGCAUCAGUGAGUAACACAUACUCAUGUGGCAAAUAUUUUUGAGAAGGCCUACGCUCUCUUUCAGAUCUUUUAACUUGAGGUAUGAUAGAUUGCUCUUCCUCAGUUAUUUCACCUGUAUCAGCUGAAGAAUCAACAUUAUGUGAGGACUCACCAUCUUCAUGACUUCCUUGCACUUCUCCUCCAUGAUUUCUAUCAACAUUAGAAGGAUUUGGGCUGAAACUAACUGAACGUUGAGCUGUAUUCUUUGGUCUCUCCACCUUGUCAAUGUCUUCAAUAGUUUGAUACUCACAAAACACCACAUCUCGGCUUCUAAUGACCUUCUUUGCAACUGGAUCCCAUAACCUGUAGUCAAACUCUUCAUGUCCAUAACCUAAGAAAAUACACUGUUUAGACUUGUCAUCAAGCUUGGAUCUUUCAUAUCUUGGAACAUGCACAAAUGCCCGACAACCGAACACUUUUAGAUGGUUGUAGGAAACAUCUUUGCCACUCCAAACUCUUUGCGGAACAUCCCCCUUAAGAGGAACCGAUGGAGAAAGAUUUAUCAAGUCUACUGCUGUUCUCAUCGCUUCACCCCAAAAUGACUUAGGCAACUUCGCAUGAGAAAGCAUACACCGAAUCCGAUCAUUAAUUGUCCGGUUCAUUCUCUCUGCCACUCCAUUAUGCUGUGGUGUUUUUGGAACAGUCUUCUCAAGCUUGAUACCAUAAUCCCUACAAUAGUGUUCAAAUGGGCCUCUAUAUUCACCACCGUUGUCAGUCCGAACACAUUUCAGCUUCUUCCCGGUUUCUCUUUCCACAUUGACAUGAAAUUGCUUGAAAGCCUCAAGUACCUGAUCUUUAGAUUUCAAAGCAAUAGCCCACACUUUUCUAGAACAGUCGUCAAUAAAUGUUACAAAGUAUAAUGCACCUCCAAGAGUUCUAGCAUCCAUGCAACAAACAUCAGUGUGAACUAAAUCAAGUACAUUUAAUUUCCUGUGUGGAGAGGAACUCUGAAAUGAGAAUCUAUGUUGCUUACCAGUCAGACAAUGAGUUCAUUCCUUUAGAUUUUUCUCUUUCAAAGGUAAAAGGUUCUUUCUAGCAAGAGUAUCAAGUCCUUUCUUGCUAAGAUGACCCAACCUCAUAUGCCAUAAAUCAACCAAGGAAUCCUCCACUGCAUUUACCUCUUCUUUAAUCAAGUCAGCUUGCAUGGUGUAGAGAGAGCCUGUCUUCUUACCCUUUGCCACUACCAUGGAACCUUUAGUCAACUUCCAUUUGCCAUCAAAGAAUGAAUUACAAUAACCAUCAUCAUCCAAGGCACCCGUAGAGAUCAAGUGAAGUCUAAUAUCCAGAACAUGUCUCACAUUUUUCAAAAGCAAAUUACAUCCGACAUCGGUUUUCAAAUAAACAUCUCCCAUGCCAAUAACCUUGGAAACAUCACUAUUUCCCAUCCUUAUGCAACCAAAGUCGCCGCUGCGAUAAGAAGCAAAGUAAUCACGCCGUGAGGUGACAUGAAAAGAAGCCGCAGAAUCAACAACCCACAUAGAGUCUUGGCAUGUAAAAUUCACAUAUCCGUCAUCACAUACAAACACAAUAUCGCCAUCGGAUGCAACCGCCGUUGUAGCUUGUUUCUCUUCUUUCUUUUGAUCUCCAUUUCUAUCAUGGAAUCUAUCUCUCUUUGGCAACCAACACUCUUUUGCAUAAUGUCCCAUUUUGCCGCAAUUAUAACACUUGACACUCCUCCUCGGUCUUGAUUUCGACCUUCCUCUUGACUUGCCUCGGGUAUCAUUUCUUUGAAACCUUCUUGAUUGACUUCUCCCCCUGUUUUCUAUAACAAGAGCAUCCGAUGUAGAGGCAUAAUUCAAGCCUUUUCUUCUUGUUUCUUCAUUGAACAAGCUUUCUUUAACCAUGCUCAUAGAAAGCACACCAAAAGGAGCCGAGUUAUUUAAUGCCACAACCAAGGUGUCCCAACUAUCAGGAAGAGUACCAAGUAAUAAGCAUGACUGCAAUUCAUCACCAAGAUCAAUCUCAAGAUUUGUCAAUUGAUUGACAACAUCUUGAAAUUCACUCAAGUGUUCCGCCAUGUUACUCCCCUCCUUGUAUCUCAAAUUCACAAGUCACUUAACUAGAAGAGCUUUAUUUUGUGGAGUUUUUCUCUCAUAAAGAUCUUGUAAUUUCUUCCACAAAGUGUCCGCCCUCGUUUCUUGAGCAACAUGAUGAAAAACACUAUCAUCAAUCCAUUGUCGGAUAAACCCAACUGUUUUCCGAUUCAUUCUCUCCCAUUCUUUGUCUUCCUUAUCUCCUUUGGCUUCAUCACCCUCAAUAGGAUCAAAUAAGUCUUUGCAAUAUAACACAUCUUCCAUCCGAGGCUUCCAAAUAGAAUAAUUCGAGGCAUUUAACUUAAACAUGGUGCUGCUGGUUUCUUCCAUUUAACACUAAAAUUCAACCGUGCUCUGAUACCACUUGAUGGGGAGAACCCGGGUACAACAAUUCACCACGGCCAAAUGCAAUCCAGGAUCAAUUUCUCCCCCGAAGCUAAAUCAACUAAAAUUUUCUUAACCCCCAGCAACAACCAGCAAUAUAUAGCAUCACAAAAUGCAAAUAUAACGCCGAAAUGAUAAGUAGACAAAGCAAAUAACGACACCAAAGAUUUAACGUGGAAAACCCGAUGCAGGAAAAACCACGGACCGCCCAAAAACAUCCACUAAUCACCAAGAAUAGCAGGAUACACAAAGUAUUCUUCUCUAGUCACACACUAGAGUCUCAACAUCAACGUUACAAUCAUCUUCUUCUCACCACAUAGGUAGAUAAACAAGUUUGGAGCAAGAAAACCUUAACCGCGACUGGAGAAUUUAGAGACGGUUCUCGACGAACAAAAACCAUCAACUCGUAGCCCUCGGUCUCACGAACAACAUACUGAAAUUUGAGCCGAUUCCGACAAUAUUUGGCCUUCGAAUCAAAGCCGCAAAGUUGCAGCACUCUUCCUCUCUUCUCUUUCUCCUUUGCUGCAGUUUUCUUUUCUGGUUUUUCCCUCUCCUCUCUUUGGACGCACACCCCACGUACGACAACUCCAUUUCUUUUUAUUCUUUUUCUUUUGUUUUGUUUUUUUUUUAUUUAAUGCUGGCUGGGCCCCACAUGAAGGUGGACCCAACCAACAAGCUGCAAUCAACAAGAUCAGGGAAAACGAAAGUCAUUCUUCAACUCGAAGAUAACUCGACGUUAAUCCACCCAGAAAUGUAGGCAACAAGAUGUGAAUGAUCUUUGUACCUGCAUGAGGUCUCCAAUGUUGGCUAGGAUGGCUCCAGGCACCAGGGACACAUCGACCCACUGGUCCUGCUGCCGGACUUGGAGGCCGCCAUGGUGGUUUUGCAGGAGAAGAGUGAGAUAUGUGGCAUCCGAGUGAUUGAUUGUGCCCAGAGUCAGCUCUGGCUGAGGGCAAGUUGGGUAGUAAUGGCUUACUAUUCUCUUGGAGUCCAUGCAUUCAAUGUCACCAAGAUAGCCUGAAUCGAGCCCCAGUGCCUCUGAUAGUAGUUCAGACAGAGAUCUCUUCAAUUUUUCCACGUGUUUUUCGUACUCAAAAACCGACUCUCUGCAAAGGAGGGAAAGUAAACAUCACGUGGUAAAGAAUACAUGAACCUAUGCAAAUAGUGUUAGAGGAAUUAAAUAGAUAUUAAAAGAACAGUUGAAUACAGAAAUUGGUGAUAGUAGAAGAGCUAAACCUAAUGAAGUAACUGAGGCGGAGGAGGCUGGAACAGAGGAAGCUGGAGCAAAGGAAGGUCGUGAGCUGGCGAUCCAUGACAGCAAAACAUAAAACAUAGAAGUUGAUCAAGCAAAUUAAAGGAGUUGCACAGAUAGAAGAACUACUCAUAUGCUUCUAUAUUGGUUAUUCUGUUGUAACAAGUCUGUAACAGAAAUAGCUAAACUAGUAUAAAAGGAUAAGAGAAUGAGAGAAGGGUGUGCGAGAGUGUUACCUUCAUCUUUUCCAUCUCUGGUUGUUCUUGAUUCAUCUUGAGCUUUUUCUUUCACCUCUGUAUUCCGAGAAUGGUGAAGUCUUGUAAAGCAUGAACAAGAAGUUCUGAAGAAGAAAUACAUUUGAGCUGAGGUAUUUUUCAUUGAUUGUUCAAGAUCUAAAUCUCUUUCAUAUAUAGAUCUUGUUCUAUAUUCGAUUUCUUCUCAUGGUAUCAUAGCGCAUCGCCUGGGAAUAAUAGAUCUGACAUGUUCUUACUGCAAGAUAGUAUAAAGAUUCUGGUGAUUCUUAGGUAGUUUACCUUCAAAGUUUACUGGAUUGUUUCUUCGAGUCUUCAAAGUUUCUGGGCAUAUAAGAAUGGCAACUAGAGUGCAGAAGUAUCCUUUCCCUAUCCAUGUGAACAUAGCUAACUUCGUUACAAUCAAGUUGAAUGAAGAGAACUUUCUGUUAUGGCAAGCUCAAUUCAACAGAUUUCUGAAAAGCCAAGAUCUGAUUGGCUUCAUUAAUGGUGAAACAUUACCUCCAACUCAAAUGAUACAGACUGUGACAGGAGAAAUAAUGAAUCCUGAUCAUCUGGAUUGGAUAAAAACUGAUCAGCUCAUAUCAUCCUGGAUAAGUGGUGCAGUAUCAGAGAAUAUUCUAAGUUUGAUAAUUGGUUUAGAAACCUCACUCGAAGUAUGGCAGGUCCUCUUGAAUAGGUUUACACAGAAAUCUAUUGCAAAUGAGUUUGAGUUAAGAGGAAAACUUCAAGCUUGCAAGAAAAGAAACAGAUCACUAAGUGAAUACCUUCGUGAGUUCAAAACCAUCUGUGAUCAGUUAAAUGCAAUUGGAAAGCCUGUUGAUGAUAUAACAAGAAUGUUUGGCAUACUUGAAGGGCUAGGUUCUGAAUAUGAAACUUUCAGGACAACCAUGUAUUGUCUUAAGCCACAGCCAGAAUAUGAUGAGGUUAUUUCACAACUUGAAAGGUUUGAAAUCCGAUUACAAACAUAUUCUGUGAAUGAGUAUAACUUGGCCUAUUAUGGGCAAAGAAGAACUGGAACAAGUCAGCAGAGAGUCAAUUCCAGAAAUCAAAGAGAAAAUUUUCGAGGAGAAGCUAACUAUGGCAGAGGUCAGUCUUUCAUUCGAAGGGAUUAUGGAAAUAAUUUCACAGAAGCAGGAAGGAAUCAACAAAUUAAAAUGAAUAACCUGAAUUCAACUCAGCAAGGUCAGGUUAACAAGGAUAAUUGGUCUAACUUUGGACAAGGAUUUAGACCAUAUUCCAAUCCUGCACAGAGAUAUCAAAGUGUUAGGUCUUAUCCACCACAGAGUUCAAAUGGUGAUAGACAAACACAGAUUACAAAGCCUAUGAGUAAUGGACCUCUGUAAUGUCAUAUUUGUAAGAAAUCAGGUCAUACAGCACUCAGAUGUUGGUAUAGGUUUGAUAACUCGUACCAGGCAGAUGAAAUACCAACUGCAUUGGCAGCAGUUCACAUUAAAGAACCCUAUGGUUCAGAAUGGUAUCCAGAUACAGGGGCUACAGCACACAUUACCUCAGAACCUGGUAUGAUUCGAAACUGCAAUACAUAUAAUGGUAAUGACACUGUCAUGAUAGGAGAUGGAACUCAUUUGUCAAUCUCAUGCAUUGGUAAUGGAGUAUUGAAUAUAGAAAAUAGCAAAUUACCUCUGAAUGAUGUGUUAAUAGUUCCUGAAAUAAAAAAGAACCUUCUAUCUGUAUCAAAACUAACAGAUGAUUAUCCCUGUUCUUUUAUUUUUGAUAAACAUGGGGUAUAUAUGAAGGACAAUCACAAUCAUACGACAGUGAAGCUAGGAAGGAAAGUCAAGGGGCUAUACCAGGUGGAACCUAAAGUUGUAGAGGUUUUCUUCACACAGACUCACCCGGAAGUUGGAGAGGAUGUCUAGCAUCAAAGACUUGCUCACACCAGUCUUAAAACAGUGAAGAUUCUACAGAAACAACAACUCAUUCAGUUUAGUUCUAAAGCUCAGAAUAUAUGUAGCAGCUGUCAAGUUGCUAAAAGCUCAGCUUUAUCUUUUCAUUUCUCAGAUCAUAUCUCGAAUGUUCCAUUAGAAAGAAUACACUGUGAUGUAUGGGGACCUUCACCAAUUCAAUCUGUUCAGAAAUUCUCCUACUAUGUCAUUUUUUUGGAUGACUUUUCUCGGUAUAGUUGGAUAUAUCCAAUGAGACAAAAGUCUGAAGUCUAUGAGAUAUUCAUUAUGUUUCAAAGACUUAUAGAAAAUCAGCUUAACCACAAGAUCAAAAUCUUCCAGAGUGAUGGAGGAGGUGAGUUCACUAGUAGUAAAUUCCAAACUCAUCUACAAAACUGUGGAAUUAAGCAGCAUAUUUCUUGCCCUCACACACCAGAGCAGAAUGGUGUCUCUGAAAGAAAACAUCAACAUGUGAUUGAAUUGGGUUUAGCAAUGAUGUAUCAUGCUAAAAUACCACUGAAAUACUUGGUAGAUGCAUUCAAAACAGCAGUUUAUGUUAUCAAUCUUCUUCCCACAACAAAACUACAUAUGCAUUCACCACAUUAUAAGCUCUACAAAAAGACACCAGACUAUUCUUAUCUUCGAGUUUUUGGAUCAGCUUGUUAUCCAUGUCUCAGGCACUACACAAAGCAUAAAUUUGAUCCAAGAUCACUUACAUGUAUCUUUCUUGGAUAUAGUGAGAAGCAUAAAGGGUACCAAUGUCUCUUACCUACAAAUGGAAGAGUCUACAUCAGCAGACAUGUCAUAUUUGAUGAGAAAGUCUUUCCCUUUUCUCAUAUCCUACAUACUGAAUAUUAGCAGGGGUCUGACUUAUACAAACAGUGGAUAAAAGGAGUGCUAUCUUCUAUUUCCAGCUCUACUAAGCAGGAUCAAUCACAAGACAAUAUAUCGGAGAGACAUCUGCAGCAUACCAGAUUCACUCAAACAACUCCAGUAAUGCAGGACAAUGAGCUCAGUACAUGUAAUCCUGCAGGACAAUCACAAAUACAGAUGGUACCUAAUACUGAGAUGCAAAGUGAUCUUAAUAAUGCCUCUGGUGGUAUUGAAUUGCAUCAGUCAUCUCCAAUCAUAGAGGAACUAAUAUCUACAAAUCAAGAGAAUGUCUCAACAUCAAAUACUAAUCCAGAACAAAUACAAAUCAGUUCUGAAACUGAACAGAUACAAGGUACUUCUUCAACUCAUCCUAUGCAAACUAGACUUUGAUCUGGAAUUGUUAAAACAAAUCCUAAAUAUGCAUGUCUAGUUGAGUAUCAGGUUCCUAUCGAACCAAAAACAGUAAAGGCUGCCUUAGCAGACCGAGGGUGGUAUCAAGCAAUGAAAGAAGAAAUGGAUGCCUUAUAUCAGAAUCAAACCUGGGAAUUAGUUCCUAGAAAUGAUCACAUGCAUAUUAUCGGGUGCAAAUGGGUGUUCAAGGAAAAACUCGCACCUGAUGGGAGCUUGGAUAGGCUCAAAGCAAGGCUUGUAGCUAAAGGCUUCCAUCAAGAAGAAGGUCUUGAUUUCAUAGAAACCUUCAGUCCUGUAGUGAAGCAUGCAACAAUUCGAAUAAUCCUAUCAAUUGCUAUGAUGAAACAAUGAAACAUUCAUCAAUUAGAUGUCAAAAAUGCCUUCUUACAUGGAACCUUAAGUGAAACAGUGUAUAUGGAGCAGCCUCCAGGAUUUAAAGAAUCACAAAAGCCCCACCAUGUCUGUCUCCUUCGAAGAUCUCUUUAUGGACUUCGACAAGCUCCUCGAGCCUGGUUUGACAGAUUUAGCAGCUUCCUUCUCGAAAAUGGAUUUUUCUGCAGCUCUACUGAUCCUUCCCUAUUCAUUCUGCAUACUGAAACAGCAACUACUCUCUUAUUAUUGUAUGUAGAUGACAUCAUUCUCACUGGAAGCUCCCCUCAAAUGAUUUCUGCACUUAUUACUUCUCUGAGCAUUCAUUUUCAUAUGAAGGAUCUAAGGUCUUUACACUAUUUCCUUGGCAUUGAAGCUACACGAACCUCGGAUUACCUAUUCCUAUGUCAAACCAAAUAUGCUCUAGACCUCCUCACCCGAGCUCAUAUGCUUGACUCCAAACCAGUUUCAACUCCUCUUUCGUUAAAACCACCUGUUUUAAUCAAUGAUACUAUACCUUUGACCAAUCCCACUGAGUACCGGAGUCUAGUUGGAGGUCUGCAAUACCUCACAUUAACCAGACCAGACAUUGCUUAUGCCACCAAUAUACUCUGCCAAAGAAUGCAGCAACUCACAAUUGCAGACUUCAACCACUUAAAAAGAGUCUUGCGAUAUAUAAAGGGUACUCUCAAGCUUGGUUUAUUCCUUCACUCCCACAGUACCAUGCAUCUUUAUGGUUUCUCCGAUGCAGAUUGGGCAGGGUGUGCAGAAACCAGAAGAUCAACAACUGGUUUUUGUAUAUAUCUUGGAUCCAACCUUAUAUCCUGGGCAGCAAAGAAACAGCCUUCAGUGAGCAGAUCCUCCACUGAAGCUGAAUACCGUGCUCUUGCAUCAGCCACUGCCGAUCUUACUUGGGUCAGUUUUGUAUUACGUGAUAUAGGUUGUUCUCUUACUCCUCCUAUUCAUUUGUACUGUGAUAAUAAGUCAGCAAUCUCUCUCACUUUGAAUCCUGUUUUACACGCUCGAACUAAACAUAUUGAAGUAGAUUUUCACUUCGUUCGGGAAAAAGUAUCCUCGGGAUCUUUACAAGUCAAAUACAUUCCAAGUCCUUACCAAUUAGCUGAUGUCUUCACCAAACCACUGACAAGAAGCUCACACUCUUAUAUGCGAACCAAAUUGGGAAUCUGUACUCUAUCCAUUCCCAAUUUGAGGGGGGAUGUUAGAGGAAUUAAACAGAUAUUAAAAGAACAGUUGAAUACAGAAAUUGGUGAUAGUAGAAGAGCUAAACCUAAUGAAGUAACUAAGGCAGAGGAGGCUGGAACAGAGGAAGCUGGAGCAAAGGAAGGUCGUGAGCUGGCGAUCCAGGUGAAUUGAUGAGCUGGCGAUCCAUGACAGCAAAACAUAAAACAUAGAAGUUGAUCAAGCAAAUUAAAGGAGCUGCACAGAUAGAAGAACUACUCAUAUGCUUCUAUAUUGGUUAUUCUGUUGUAACAAGUCUGUAACAGAAAUAGCUAAACUAGUAUAAAAGGAUAAGAGAAUGAGAGAAGGGUGUGCGAGAGUGUUACCUUCAUCUUUUCCAUCUCUGGUUGUUCUUGAUUCAUCUUGAGCUUUUUCUUUCACCUCUGUAUUCCGAGAAUGGUGAAGUCCUGUAAAGCAUGAACUAGAAGUUCUGAAGAAGAAAUACAUUUGAGUGAGGUAUUUUUCAUUGAUUGUUCAAGAUCUAAAUCUCUUUCAUAUACAGAUCUUGUUCUAUAUUCGAUUUCUUCUCAAAUAGAGAAGGGAAAGUUAUACAUGGAUGAAAGAGGUGUGAAGAAUCGAACUUGAUAUCUAUCUCUUGCCCUGAUAUCAUGUUGAAGUUAUGCAGAAAACUGUUUUCUUUCCCCUUUAAAGUAAAAAAGAAACACGGUAUAUAUUUUUCGAAAUUGUCGAAGUCCUGGGUGAAGGAAUAGAGUGUAAAUCAUGAUGACCUGAAUAGAAGAGGGACUGCCUCUCGGUCUGGCUCUCCAAACGAGAAAUCAAACAGGAGAGUGUCCUUCCAAGUUGCUGCUUUGGACAAAAACAAGUCUCCAUUGCUGUAGUACCUAAAUUUCCUAGCGUCGUCCCUGGAGUACCACUCUCCCUUCACUCCCUCAGGCUGCUCGUGGAACUGCUUGACAGCUUCCAACACGCUGUCCAUCACAUCGACCGGGAUCCCGUGGUUAAUUAUCUGGAAGAACCCCCACGUCUCCGACGCUCUACGGAGGUCGUCGACCACGUCUCGCCGCAGCCGGGAAUCCUGACAGCCCAUCAUGUCGAUGAUGGGGACCUUAAGGUCAGUGGCGGACCCCUCUGUGUCAGAGGACACGUCGCGCAGGUUCUGGGGAGGGUGGAUGAAGAGCCUAGGGACCUUGGCCACGCCGGAGUCGAUGAGGCCUUUGACGCCGGCUUUGGUCUCGUCGAAUUCCUUUGCUUCUUUUGCUCCGUCAUAGUGCGGGCCACUACAGGUGAUGGAUUCUUCAGGACUGGGCAAGAUUUGCAUCUUUGUAAGGAGAAGCUUUGAAGCCUAUUAAUCCUAAUUGGGAGAUAUGUCUAUCGCAUGUUAGAUAUUAAUAGACAUAUAUUAGAUAGUAAAAUAUCUAAAUCAAAUCAAGAUAAGAUAAUUACCUAAUUUUUCACAAGUAAUAUUGCAAAAUUUGAACUCGACAAGAACAAAAUUUGAAGCUCGGCACGGUGGUGCUCCUCAGUAAAGGAUGAUCGUGGGCUCACGGUGAACGAACCUGCAAAAAUAAGAACUUCGUAGAAUCGACUCGGUUUGGAUACGAACAAGAACGGCGGCUAGUGUCGGAAGGUGGGGGGGUUCACAAUUGAGGUGCAGGAGCGAGUCGUUGAGAUCGUCUAAAAAUUUCGGCAAGGCUGGGUUCGUCAGUACAUGUGCGUAACAGCAAGGUAGCUUGCUGGUUCGCUACUGGGUUGAGUGUUCCUUCAAUGGACAGUUAACACCAAUGACACCAAGGCCUUGUAGGCAUGGACACGAGGCAAGUCACGGGCUGCUCUCCAGAUGGUGGACUUAUCCCUUCAAGGCCUCACCUCUAUUA
rnacentral:lncRNA from 1 species